UUGCCAAGACAUGAGCGACAAAAUGUAACCAAACUCAGAGUACUGAUGUCCAGUUUGUUUGGAACAAGACAUUUAUCAAGUUCUUGUUCGAGACCCAUAUAUAUAUGUUACUGCUUCAAGAAGGGCACAGUCUCAAGUGGCCUUAAUGGAGAUAACAACGGGUUUGUCAAUGUCCUCCCAAAGCACCACAAAGUUGAAGCAAAGAAGAUUUGGUCUUGGACUUCCAGGUUUUCCAAGUAAGAAAAAAUGCAGUCCUUUGGUGAUGUUGCUUCUAUGACAGAUUGCGGGAUUUUAGACCAAACACUCGUUUCUGUCCAGACUUUUAUUGCAUGGGGCACUCGAAAAAAGUAUGCCAAUGGAUCUUUGGGUUGGAGUCAUGCACAAAGCAGGAAAAUCAUGGUGCAUUGAACUUCCUGAGAAAAACUUUGAUGCGUUGCGGGAUGUUUAGAGCCCAGAUGAAGUUCCAAUUGCCUUGCUCAUUGAGGUAGCUAUUAUCAAUCCUGCUUUCGGUGAUGUGGUAAUAGGCUGACUUAACCCAGAAUUGGCCAUCUCUGCUAGAUUUCCUUAACCGAGAGGUGACGCCAUAGAAGCAAAAUGCAGAAAAAAAACACACACGAUCAAAAAUGGGUAAAACAAAGCUGGCUCAUAAGCGAGGAAACCUUAGAGGGAGAACCCUAGCAAAGAGAGAAAACAAAUUUGGAGAUCGAUCUUAAACACAAUUGUUCUCAUGGGUCACUAAUUAUGUCUAAAUCACUAAUUUAAAAAAGUAUGUCUAAUACUCCUCAUUU
rnacentral:lncRNA from 1 species